rnacentral:rRNA from 1 species
AUGCAAGCGGUGAGGCCGUCGGCGAGGGAGGAGGCGGUGGAGCAACUGCAUGCGCAGGCCAUGGGGGAGUCGGAGGCGCAGGAGGUCAGGGAGGUGGUGAAGGCGGUGGAGGAGGAGGCGCCUGAGGAGAAGGAGGUGGCGGUGGUGGGAGAGCAGAAGGCCGCCCAUGCCGAGGUGGAAGCCGAUGAGAUGGAGGUGGAGGCGGAUAUUGAGGCUGAGGCUGGGGUGUCGGCCAAGAAGAACCGGAUCCAGGUGUCCACCAACAAGAAGCCGCUUUACUUCUACGUUAACCUCGCCAAGAGGUACAUGCAGAACUAUGAUGAGGUUGAACUCUCUGCUUUGGGGAUGGCCAUUGGCACUGUGGUGACUGUAUCGGAGAUCCUAAAGAACAAUGGUUUGGCCACAGAAAAGAAGAUCCUGACAUCAACAAUUGGCACCAAAGAUGAGUCGAAGGGGCGACUCGUCCGUAAAGCCAAGAUUGAGAUCCUGCUAUGUAAAUCAGAGAACUUCAAUAGCAUCAUGUCCAACAAAAAAUCACACAAGUCUGUUGAUGAUGAGAUGAAGGUCUGA